GUGGAAGGUGUUGAAGGGAUGGAUUAAUAAUGGAAGGAUGAUGGAGACUCUCUAGAGAUAAUGGAGAAAUAAUGGAGGACCUUUUGCAGAUGUGAAGAAGAAAUAAGGAAGGAGAUACUUUGUUUAUGUGGAAGAGAACAAAAUCCUCGUGAAGAUGUCUGCUAUGAGAAUGGCAGACUUCGAAAGAUUUGAAGGAGAAGAGACGUUUUUGUGGAAGA
rnacentral:lncRNA from 1 species